rnacentral:rRNA from 1 species
AACGAACGCUGGCGGCAGGCCUAACACAUGCAAGUCGAACGCCGUAGCAAUACGGAGUGGCAGACGGGUGAGUAACACGUGGGAACGUACCCUUCGGUUCGGAAUAACUCAGGGAAACUUGAGCUAAUACCGGAUACGUCCGAGAGGAGAAAGAUUUAUCGCCGAGGGAUCGGCCCGNGUCUGAUUAGCUUGUUGGUGAGGUAACGGCUCACCAAGGCGACGAUCAGUAGCGUGGUCGAGAGGAUGAUCAGCCACAUUGGGACUGAGACACGGCCCAAACUCCUAC